rnacentral:lncRNA from 1 species
UAGGGUAGGGUCAUUUGUAAUCAGGGUCAGGCCUGUGCCCAAUUUGGGGACUGGGAUCAGAGUGGUGGGGGUCAGGGUGAGGCCAUUACAGGGUUAUGGCUCAGAUCCAGGUUGGGUCUGGGGGUAAAUUUGGGGCAAGGUUGAGGUCAGGGGUGCGGGUGUGGGUCUGCCAGAGGUUGUAGCUGGGGUGGAAGUUGGUGCUCAGAACUCACAGAACUCACUUUUGUGGCACAUCAAG